UACAGAGGUCUCAAGCGUUGUUCGGAUUCAUUGGGCGUAAAGGGUGCGUAGGUGGCGCCGUAAGUCAGGUGUGAAAUUUCGGAGCUUAACUCCGAAACUGCAUUUGAUACUGCGGUGCUUGAGGACUGGAGAGGAGACUGGAAUUCACGGUGUAGCAGUGAAAUGCGUAGAUAUUGUGAGGAAGACCAGUGGCGAAGGCGGGUCUCUGGACAGUUCCUGACACUGAGGCACGAAGGCCAGGGGAGCAAACGGG
rnacentral:rRNA from 1 species